CCUACGGGGGGCUGCAGUGGGGAAUUUUGGACAAUGGGGGCAACCCUGAUCCAGCCAUGCCGCGUGCGGGAAGAAGGCCUUCGGGUUGUAAACCGCUUUUGUCAGGGAAGAAAUCUUCCGAGCUAAUACCUUGGGAGGAUGACGGUACCUGAAGAAUAAGCACCGGCUAACUACGUGCCAGCAGCCGCGGUAAUACGUAGGGUGCAAGCGUUAAUCGGAAUUACUGGGCGUGAUGGUUGCGCAGGCGGUUGAGAUCCCCGGGCUUAACCUGGGAACGUGAAUUGUGACUGUACGGCUGGAGUACGGCAGAGGGGGAUGGAAUUCCGCGUGUAGCAGUGAAAUGCGUAGAUAUGCGGAGGAACACCGAUGGCGAAGGCAGUCCCCUGGGCCUGUACUGACGCUCAUGCACGAAAGCGUGGGGAGCAAACAGGAUUAGAGACCCGAGUAGUC
rnacentral:rRNA from 1 species